UACGUAGGGUGCAAGCGUUAAUCGGAAUUACUGGGCGUAAAGCGUGCGCAGGCGGUUGUGCAAGACCGAUGUGAAAUCCCCGGGCUUAACCUGGGAAUGGCAUUGGUGACUGCACGGCUAGAGUGUGUCAGAGGGGGGUAGAAUUCCACGUGUAGCAGUGAAAUGCGUAGAUAUGUGGAGGAAUACCGAUGGCGAAGGCAGCCCCCCUGGGAUAACACUGACGCUCAUGCACGAAAGCGUGGGGAGCAAACAGG
rnacentral:rRNA from 1 species